rnacentral:rRNA from 1 species
GACAGAGGAUGCAAGCGUUAUCCGGAAUGAUUGGGCGUAAAGCGUCUGUAGGUGGCUUUUUAAGUCCGCCGUCAAAUCCCAGGGCUCAACCCUGGACAGGCGGUGGAAACUACCAAGCUGGAGUACGGUAGGGGCAGAGGGAAUUUCCGGUGGAGCGGUGAAAUGCGUAGAGAUGUGGAGGAACACCGAUGGCGAAGGCACUUUACUGGGCUAUUACUAACACUGAGAGACGAAAGCUAGGGUAGCAAAUGGG